rnacentral:misc_RNA from 1 species
GUGAGAAGUUAUUUGACAUCCAUUGGAGCUGGAAAGCAUGGUGUCAGCAAGGCGGCUUUGCAAAGGGCCUAUUUGUCUGAAAUUGAUAAACUUUGUGCAAACCCGAGACUCAGGAGGUUUUUUUGCAGCCAAGGGUCAAAGAAAAGUAAUUAUGAGAACUAUUACCCAAAGAACAAGAAAGAAGUCCCGAAAGGGAACAAUCAAAAGGCUGAGUCGGGUAAAGAGGAAAGUACAGGUGAGCAAGGAAACCCUCAGGAGAACUUCAUGAAGCAAUAUCAAAAUAUUCUCACACCCUUGCUAUUUAUUGGGUUUAUUCUGUCCUCGACACUUUUUUCUCCUCGUGAGCAGAAGGAGAUUAGCUUCCAAGAAUUCAAAAACAAGCUACUUGAACCUG